AGUCGUCUGCAUUUCUUUGUUUGGAGUUGGACAUGAAAAGAACUGUUAUGAUACGCUAUUGCUUCUUUCAAUUUAUUGACAGAAGUGAUUUAGUGGUUUUCCAUACUGCUGAUACCAAAAUAUCACAGCCCUGUGGUGACUAAUCCAGGGUCUAUAAAAAAAGAUCUCUGCCUGCCGUCAUCAUCAAGUACCUUCAUUCGUUCUUCAAAGAAUCAAAACACCCAGCUCCGCUGCUGGUAACUUUGUUGCAGCCAACUGACGAUAGUUGUUCCUUUUGCAGGCUUGCUAUACUUGUACUGGCUGUAACUUUCGUCACAUACAGAAACAAAAUCUAAAGCAGAAGCAUGGCAAAGAUCUUGCCACAUGGUGCUGCCAUGUCAUGAAUAUGCGUGCUAAGGUGCCAAAAUGUGAUGAAAAAAGGGAAUCUGAAAUGGUGUCCAUGGUUAGUUUGGUGGUACAGUGGUUUUGCAGCUAUUUUCCAGUUGAGAGUCUAAGCCGGAAGCCUACUAUGAUACACUGCUCUCAUAAUAACUGCUCCUCGGCUCUCUUCGCUCUUUUUCCGGUUUCUCUUAACCAUGGCCGGGUAAUUUCCCUGGUCGAGUCAGUCGGGCAGUGUUUUCCCCUGCUUGACUGACUGCAGUUUGAACCGGACGGUCUGUUAAAAUAAGAAUUUAAAUCUUGAACAAUGCCUCCUUUGAGCGGCCCGGACAAUCCUGAAUCCUUUAAGAUUGCCAUUCCAUCGAGGCUUAAACGAGGAUGACGCGGAGGUGUUGCCCAUUGAGGGGUUUUGGUGACAAGGAGUCACUGAACGAAACGCUAAACCAAAUAAAAAAAAUAUUAAAAAAGGUAAUGCUAGAUACGACAUGAAGCUUUUGCUUUCGCAGAGAAUAAUGUUUGUUUGUGUGCAACCAACGAUCCUUUAUAUAUCCGAGCCGAGUCCUUUCCAUCUAUUCGGUGUGAAGAGAAAAACCCGAAUUUCAACACAUUUUGCUGCUUAGCAACGAAAACAAAGCGAGUGUCAAAACAUCGUUUUACUUGCGCAUACUUUAUUGCGGUAGAAACGCGUUGAUCAUGUAACAGGGUAAAUUUUUUCCCUUUUGUUCAUGCAGCACCAAACGACACGCGAUAGGUUCCGGCGGUCAUCAACUAUUCAAGAUGGUAGACCUGUCAAUGUAAAAGACAGGGUAAGGGUAGCUCGUGUAAAUGUUAUUCAUUUAUGUUAAAAAGCUGCUAGUAGGAUCUCAUCGUUGAAUCUGCGGUUACAAAAUCCAUGUGCCUAGAGUUCAGACCCAUCCCCAGCAACGUCAACCUGCAGAAAGAAAAAGACCAGUUUCUAUGGCCUUCAGACUCGAAGAUCGCGGAGAUAAUCACGUAAAACUGGCAUGGGGUGGCGUAGAGGUUGGGUGAGAAUGACACGUUUUUCAACAUUAUCAAGCAGACCCAUCCCCGGCAAAGUCACCUGCAGAAGGAAAGGCCAGUUUGCAUUUCAAUUGAAGGU